GACACACAUCACAAGCAAUAAACGUAUUACCGAACAUUCUGAGAGAUAAACAUAUACAUUAACUAGCACAGCACGAGGAUAUGGUCGUUAAGCACUGUGACGUCACCAAUGACGCUGUGUUAGGCAAGAAGGUCAGGAGCGGACGGCGUCGCCUCAGUGUCGGGCUGACAGCCAACAGACGUAGUUCCUUAGGCGGUGUCCCGCUUCUUACUUCAUUUGCAGCUACACCGGUCAUCAGGGUCUGGCUCGACAUUGGCCACGAGUCUUCUUGAGAAAUAACUUUAAAGUGAACGGAAGACUAGUCAGUCACAAGGCACGGAACUAGUUUUGGCGUGACGUAGCUGCAAGUCUCGAUAGAGGUGGUUGGACGGUGUUGAACACGGGGCGGCUGGCAACGUUGCAGGAAUA